rnacentral:rRNA from 1 species
GUAGGUGAACCUGCGGAAGGAUCAUUACCGAGUGAGGGCCCUCUGGGUCCAACCUCCCACCCGUGUUUAUUUUACCUUGUUGCUUCGGCGGGCCCGCCUUAACUGGCCGCCGGGGGGCUCACGCCCCCGGGCCCGCGCCCGCCGAAGACACCCUCGAACUCUGUCUGAAGAUUGAAGUCUGAGUGAAAAUAUAAAUUAUUUAAAACUUUCAACAACGGAUCUCUUGGUUCCGGCAUCGAUGAAGAACGCAGCGAAAUGCGAUACGUAAUGUGAAUUGCAAAUUCAGUGAAUCAUCGAGUCUUUGAACGCACAUUGCGCCCCCUGGUAUUCCGGGGGGCAUGCCUGUCCGAGCGUCAUUGCUGCCCUCAAGCCCGGCUUGUGUGUUGGGCCCCGUCCUCCGAUUUCCGGGGGACGGGCCCGAAAGGCAGCGGCGGCACCGCGUCCGGUCCUCGAGCGUAUGGGGCUUUGUCACCCGCUCUGUAGGCCCGGCCGGCGCUUGCCGAUCAACCCAAAUUUUUAUCCAG